rnacentral:rRNA from 1 species
UACGUAGGGUGCGAGCGUUGUCCGGAAUUAUUGGGCGUAAAGAGCUCGUAGGCGGUGUGUCGCGUCGGCCGUGAAAACCUGGGGCUUAACUCUGGGCGUGCGGUCGAUACGGGCAUCACUAGAGUUCGGCAGGGGAGACUGGAAUUCCUGGUGUAGCGGUGAAAUGCGCAGAUAUCAGGAGGAACACCGGUGGCGAAGGCGGGUCUCUGGGCCGAUACUGACGCUGAGACGCGAAAGCGUGGGGAGCGAACAGG